UCGGGCUCCGCGCGCGCUCGCUCGCUGGUUUUCAGGUCCAACACCUGGAGGACAAUCCACUCUCUGCCCCGCGCGUCGGGCGCAGCCCAGUCCCUGAGUCCCCGAGUCCCCGGCAGCGGCAGCCAAGGGGUUAACCCGGGAAAGCCCAAGACGCCACAGAAGAGGGAAGGAAAAGAGAGAGAGAGAGAGAGAGAGGAGAGAGAAAAGAAAGAGCCACACAGUCAUCUUCCCAGGCCCUGCUUGGACAGAAAGGUCUCCCCAACAUCACGAGGCAGCAAACUGAAAGCAAGAACAUGGCGAAGUGCAAACAAAUCCAGUCCACAAAAGGCAGAAAAGUUUGGAGAGUUUCGGGCGGCCUGGGCCACGGGCGGGGGAGGGGAGGCGGGGAGAGGAGGAGGCGGGGAGGGGGGAGGGGAAGGAGGGGGCAGGGUAGAGGCCGCAUGCGGGGCCGGGCGGGCGGGCUGCGGGCGGGGGCCGGGCGCUGGAGGCACUUACGGUUCGGGCGGUGGGCGAGAGCGAUCCGUUGGGGAGGUAGGGGCUCGUCAGGUCGGGGAUCAUGAUGAAGGGGUAGCCGGGAUACGGUGGCCCCUUAAAGAGCCCUCCAUCUUGCCUCUUGGCCGCUAACAUGGCGGGGCGGCGAGGGGACGGCGGCGGCCGCGCGGAGCGGGAGAGAGCGGGGAGAAACUUUUUAGAGCGCGGCCCCGGGGCCCGGGCGCCCCGGCCGGGCCGGCUCCAAGCCGGGCCGAGCGGGGCGCGGGGCCCGGGCGCGCGGGGCGGCGGGCCCGGGGGGCAGCCCCGGGCGGCUGCGGGGCGCGCGGGGCGUACUCACCUUCUUCCAAACUUUCCCGGGAUUUAUCUCGGAAACUUUCGGAGCGAGGCGGAGGCCGUCUUUCCGCCUUCCCGGAGGGAUGGAGGUGGGGAGGGCGAGGGGCAAACGCCACGCAGAAGGGGGGAGAGACAGAACCGGCGGGGUGGGGGGUUCGGGGGGGAGAGAAAAACAGGGUUACAAGUUUUCGCCAUGGUGGCACCGCGCGCACACGCCGCCCGCCCGGCCGGCCCCGCGCCGCCGCCCCCAGCCCCGAUUUCUCCCCUGGAAGCAACGUUUGCCAAACCCAGGAAACAGAUUAAAACACCCCACCAGCCCGAGGGGCUUUUCCUACCUCGGAAUCGGAAGAGCUGUUUUGAUUCGUUUCUGAUUCAUUGACUAGAGACGACUUGACAUCAGCUAAAUCCCUCUCUGCCGAGGAGUUCUCCGAGCUCUUCUCCUCCUGCUCGCCCUCGUCUUUGAAGGAAAUCAGUUCGUCGUUGGCGCCUAGGUCAUCUCCUCCACCGCCGUUCAGCUGCGGCAUUUUUUUUCACCCACCAGCAGCAAUUUUGGAAGAAAAAUGAAGGAGGAAGAAAAGCAAAAAAAAAAAAAAAAAAAAUACCCCCAAAAAGUUUUGUUCCCCCCUCCAAAAAAAUAUUGCAAGAAAAAGACGAGUCCAAGGUGAACUUUUUUUUUCAGCUUUGGGGUCUUUUUCUCCUGGGGAGGGGAAAGAGGGAGGAGGGGAGGGGAAGGGGGGGAGAUCUUCUGCACGCGUGAGUUUGGGUUUCUUUUUUCUCUCGUUCCCCGGGAUCCGAUCAAUGUGCAAAAAAAUAAUAAAUAAAAAAAGGGGGGUAAAAAAAAAAAA